AGUUUGAUCCUGGCUCAGGACGAACGCUGGCGGCGUGCUUAACACAUGCAAGUCGAACGGAAAGGCCCUUCGGGGUACUCGAGUGGCGAACGGGUGAGUAACACGUGGGUGAUCUGCCCUGCACUUUGGGAUAAGCCUGGGAAACUGGGUCUAAUACCGAAUAGGACCGCGCGCUUCAUGGUGUGUGGUGGAAAGCUUUUGCGGUGUGGGAUGGGCCCGCGGCCUAUCAGCUUGUUGGUGGGGUAAUGGCCUACCAAGGCGACGACGGGUAGCCGGCCUGAGAGGGUGACCGGCCACACUGGGACUGAGAUACGGCCCAGACUCCUACGGGAGGCAGCAGUGGGGAAUAUUGCAGAAUGGGCGCAAGCCUGAUGCAGCGACGCCGCGUGAGGGAUGACGGCCUUCGGGUUGUAAACCUCUUUCACCAGGGACGAAGCGCAAGUGACGGUACCUGGAGAAGAAGCACCGGCCAACUACGUGCCAGCAGCCGCGGUAAUACGUAGGGUGCGAGCGUUGUCCGGAAUUACUGGGCGUAAAGAGCUCGUAGGUGGUUUGUCGCGUUGUUCGUGAAAACUCACAGCUUAACUGUGGGCGUGCGGGCGAUACGGGCAGACUAGAGUACUGCAGGGGAGACUGGAAUUCCUGGUGUAGCGGUGGAAUGCGCAGAUAUCAGGAGGAACACCGGUGGCGAAGGCGGGUCUCUGGGCAGUAACUGACGCUGAGGAGCGAAAGCGUGGGGAGCGAACAGGAUUAGAUACCCUGGUAGUC
rnacentral:rRNA from 1 species